rnacentral:rRNA from 1 species
AUUGAACGCUGGCGGCAUGCCUUACACAUGCAAGUCGAACGGCAGCACGGGUGCUUGCACCUGGUGGCGAGUGGCGAACGGGUGAGUAAUACAUCGGAACGUACCUUAUCGUGGGGGAUAACGCAGUGAAAGCUGUGCUAAUACAGAAUACGCACUGAGGGUGUAAGCGGGGGGUUGACAGACCUUGCGGGAUCAGAGCGGCCGAUGCCUGAUUAGCUUGUUGGUGGGGUAAAAGCCCACCAAGCCGACGAUCAGUAGCUUGUCUGAGAGGACGAUCAGCCACACUGGGACUGAGCCACGGCCCAGACUCCUACGGGAGGCAGCAGUGGGGAAUGUUGGACAAUGGGGGCAACCCUGAUCCAGCAAUGCCGCGUGAGUGAAGAAGGCCUUCGGGUUGUAAAGCUCUUUUGUCAGGGAAGAAACACCGGCUCUAACACAGUCCGGGAAUGACGGUACCUGAAGAAUAAGCACCGGCUAACUACGUGCCAGCCGCCGCCGUAA